rnacentral:rRNA from 1 species
UACGAAGGGGGCUAGCGUUGCUCGGAAUCACUGGGCGUAAAGCGCACGUAGGCGGCUUUCUAAGUCAGGGGUGAAAUCCUGGAGCUCAACUCCAGAACUGCCUUUGAUACUGGAGAGCUAGAGUCCGGAGGAGGUGAGUGGAACUGCGAGUGUAGAGGUGAAAUUCGUAGAUAUUCGCAAGAACACCAGUGGCGAAGGCGGCUCACUGGUCCGGUACUGACGCUGAGGUGCGAAAGCGUGGGGAGCAAACAGG